ensembl:lncRNA
GAAAGAGGCUGCAAAACUCCGGGGCCGGCGCGCGCUCCCACCGCGCACAACCCACGAGCGCUCAGCGCCGCGCGCGACGGCCACAGCCGGGUCAGAAAAGUGGACGCCGCACCCCGGGCUUUCUGGGAGCGGAACGCACAGGUCGGCCCCGCGGCCCGGCUCGCCCUCUUCUCGCUGCCCCUGCGCACCGAUUCUCUCCGGGAAUCGUCCACAAGAGCCCGAGUCCGCCCUCUCCUUCCGGCAGCGGCCGCGCCGAGCCCGCGGCCCUGGACGCCCGCCCCACCAAGUGCCGGCGCAGCCCGGAGAAUCCGCCGCCCCAAGUUCGCCCGAGCACUGAGGCAUUUGGCACUUGGCGGACAGCGAGUCGGCUGAAUUUUGUCUCACCUUCAUAUGUUGAAGUCCUAAACGCGAGUACCUCAAAAUGUGACUGUAUUUGGAAAUUGGGUCUUUAAAGAGAUUAACCAAGAACAUCGUUUCCUAUAGAUAACUGUUUUCCAGCCAUCGUCAACUAAUCAUCAAACACUUGAAUAUUUUUUCCCCACGACUUGUACAGUAUGGUCCGAAGACUAUUUGCCUUAGAAUUGUAAACGUGGAUUCCUACGUCAUUGCACGGACCUAAUAAAUAAAGAUCUUUGGAGAUGCGACUCAACCAUACCAAAAUCUGAGAACCACUACUUUAAAGAAUACCACAGCUCUCAAUUUGAACAGAAAGAUUGCAUUUGACCAAUUAUGUUUUAUCAAGGUCUUUAGCAAUUUAGAGAACAUAUGAUGUAUUUCUUAAUAAAUUAUGGUUAUUCUAAUCCUUCCCAACAUCAUUUAUUCAUAC